UCUUUGACGCUAUGGGCGUCUGCUGCACUUGCACAAAUUCCCACGCCAGUUCGAGAGACGAUCGAGCACUCGCGCAUGAAGAUGGGGUUUCGGUUCGACCUACUGGUCCUCGCGGUGGCCCUGCUCUCGACUCCGGCGCUCUCCGAUCUGGUGUUGACCAGGGUCGAUCGGCGCGUUUUAGAGGGGUUUCUGGUUUUGAGGUCUUUAAGAUGUGAUUGCUUUUGCCGUGACGUUUGAACUGGUUCCGAUGCCAUCGGCGUCGUCGAUGUGCGAUUCGCGAAUCGAGUAUCGAGAGAUGUGCCGGGAGGCCUUCAUUGUUUGAAUCAGAUGCGAGGAGGCGGGUUCUGGGGAUGUGGAGGUUUUCUAGGUUGGUUUGCAUUUUAGAGCAUUUGCACUCGUGUCGGAUGAUUGGGCUGUCUGAUAGUGGUUCUUUACUGGAGUGGUCGGUUUUAACGAUCCUCCUGUCGUGAGGAUGAUGAGAGUAGAUUGUGAUAAGUGAAUGGGCUCCUCGAAAUUUAAAGGAUUUUUUUGCUGGUCGAAAGGUCCAAUGGGUUUUGUCUGGUUUAGAUAUGAUGAGAAAAGGAUUAACUCAUUUCAGGGUAGAGGGUUUCCAUAUCUAAA